UAGGAUUCCCUUAGUAGCUGCGAGCGAACAGGGAUAAGCCCAGCACCGAAUCCCGCGGCUGUAAUGGACGCCGGGAAAUGUGGUGUUUAGGAGGAUCCAUUAUCCUAAAAUUGUUUAUUGAGUCCAAGUCCUUCUUGAACGGGGCCACAGCCCAUAGAGGGUGCCAGGCCCGUAGUGACCAAUAGCAAUGAUAGGAGGAUCUCUCCUUAGAGUCGGGUUGCUUGAGAGUGCAGCCCUAAGUGGGUGGUAAACUCCAUCUAAGGCUAAAUAUAACCACGAGACCGAUAGCGAACAAGUACCGUGAGGGAAAGUUGAAAAGCACUUUGAAGAGAGAGUUCAAUAGUACGUGAAACCGUUCAGGGGUAAACCUGAGAAACCCGAAAGGUCGAAAGGGGAAAUUCAUUCGUAUUUCGAUUUUGGCUUUGUUUGUUAAUUGACAAUGUGUUGUUCACUUCGGUGCAACGACGCUGUUGCAUUUUUCAUUCAAUGAACCGAUUAUCGAAUACGUGCACUUUUCCCCAAGUAGGACGCCGCGAUUCGUUGGGUGUCGGUUUAAGGCCUAUGGUGGCAGACCAUCACGGAUGAAGUACUUUACCGUUCUUCAUUUACCGUAAUGGACCCAUAGUGUCCCGACCGACUGGCUCGACGGUAUCAUUAUAUAGACGCAGAGCCGCAAAAUUACAAUUUGCGUUCGACCCAUAACAAGCGUGCUAGUGUUAUAUUGGGAUACGGACCUAGUGCCGUACCCGAUCUCUAGUAUCUGUUAGUUGUGGUGUUUUCUCGAACAGACUCUGUAAUAUGAAACGUCAAUCUGCGGCGCUAUAGCUUUGGGUACUUUCAGGACNNNNNNNNNNNNNNNNNNNNNNNNNNNNAGCAUGUGCGCAAGUCAUUGGGAUUAUUAAAAACCUAAAGGCGUAAUGAAAGUAAAAAUUUGUCUUUGCUACAAAUUGAGGGAAGAUGAGUGGUCGUCGAAACAUGGCCACUCCGCAUUCCCGGGGCGUCUCAUUCUUAUUGCAAGAAGAGGCGCACCAAGAGCGUACACGCUGGGACCCGAAAGAUGGUGAACUAUGCCUGGUCAGGACGAAGUCAGGGGAAACCCUGAUGGAGGUCCGUAGCGAUUCUGACGUGCAAAUCGAUCGUCGGAACUGGGUAUAGGGGCGAAAGACUAAUCGAACCAUCUAGUAGCUGGUUCCCUCCGAAGUUUCCCUCAGGAUAGCUGGCGCUCGUGUACGAGUCUCAUCCGGUAAAGCGAAUGAUUAGAGGCAUUGGGGUCGAAACGACCUCAACCUAUUCUCAAACUUUAAAUGGGUGAGAUCUCCGGCUUGCUUAACCAGUGAAGCCGUGAGAUUCG
rnacentral:rRNA from 1 species